UGGACCACCAGAAUGAUCUCAUUGCAAGGUCAGCUACCAGAACUUCUUGCUGCUGAUCCUGGGAUGUUUCUGAACAUGCUCCCAAACAUGUUCAAUUUAUCCGCCCUAGGACAGGCUACUCGGCAUGCUCGGCGUGUUUACCUCGGUGGACUUCCUCCAAUCGCUAAUGAACAGACGGUUGCUCUAUUCUUCAAUCAAGUUAUGACCGCUAUUGGGGGAGACACAUUUGAUCCAGGUGAUGCAGUUCUUAAUAUGAAGCUGAUUUUUGAAUUCAUACAAAACAUCUUAGGUGGCAUAAUCAUCUAA
rnacentral:rRNA from 1 species